UACGUAGGGCGCAAGCGUUAUCCGGAAUUAUUGGGCGUAAAGAGCUCGUAGGCGGUUUGUUGCGUCGGCUGUGAAAUCCCGAGGCUCAACCUCGGGUCUGCAGUCGAUACGAGCAAACUAGAGUGUUGCAGGGGAGACUGGAAUUCCUGGUGUAGCGGUGAAAUGCGCAGAUAUCAGGAGGAACACCGGUGGCGAAGGCGGGUCUCUGGGCCGAUACUGACGCUGAGGAGCGAAAGCAUGGGGAGCGAACAGG
rnacentral:rRNA from 1 species